GUCUAUUUUUCUUAUUAUAAUUAUUAUAUACAUUUUGUCUUGAAAGAGAAACCACACCACAUCGCCAUUUUAAAAGUAACAAAUUUUUUAGAUUGAUGAUAAACUAGUGAGGAGAUUGAAAUUCAUUUUGAUGCUACUGAAAAAACAAGUCGUCUCCCUCCUAUGAUGUUGUGGUGCAUCUGUUAAAUUUCCAUCUUGAAAACUCUUGUAGUUAAUUAAUUAAGAUUGUCCUAACGGGUGAGAAGGAAUUGAUUUUAGUGCUACUAAAACAACCGACGCUUUUGAUGUCUUCACCAUACAAUAUUAUGCCGUUAAUUUUGGCCCCGAGAAUGGGAGGCAACUGAAAAUUAAUUUGGAAACGACGGAAAGAACAUUGUCUGCAGUGGCGUCCCUCCUAGAUUUGAAUUGCUCAUCAUACUGGUAGCCUUUAGAACGCUACUUUCUGUAGUUAAUUAAGAUCGUCCAACAAAUGAGAGAGAAUUAAAGUUCAGUUUGGUCAACCAAUGUUUGGAUGGGUGUGGUUUUUCAUGGAGUAUAUUCUUGAUUUGCUGUUUCGUCUUCGCCUUGCAACAUCAUGUAGUUAAUUUUUAACCCAUGAGUUAGAGCAACUGGAUAUUUAUUUGGUUUCCGCUAAAAUAACAAAUUUUCUGCAAGUGGUAUUUCUCUUGGACUUGGUUUGCUUUUCACACCUGCAAACUUUGGAAUAUUACAGUAUACAGAUAAUUAAGAUCGACGUCGGAGAAGACAAAGAUGACC
rnacentral:lncRNA from 1 species